GACGAACGCUGGCGGCGUGCUUAACACAUGCAAGUCGAACGGAAAGGCCCUGCUUUUGUGGGGUGCUCGAGUGGCGAACGGGUGAGUAACACGUGAGUAACCUGCCCUUGACUUUGGGAUAACUUCAGGAAACUGGGGCUAAUACCGGAUAGGAGCUCCUGCUGCAUGGUGGGGGUUGGAAAGUUUCGGCGGUUGGGGAUGGACUCGCGGCUUAUCAGCUUGUUGGUGGGGUAGUGGCUUACCAAGGCUUUGACGGGUAGCCGGCCUGAGAGGGUGACCGGCCACAUUGGGACUGAGAUACGGCACAGCCUAGUACGGGAGGCAGGAGGGGGGAAUAUUGCACAGUGGGCGGAAGCCUGAUGUAGCAACGCCGCGUGCGGGAUGACGGCCUUCGGGUUGUAAACCGCUUUCGCCUGUGACGAAGCGUGAGUGACGGUAAUGGGUAAAGAAGCACCGGCUAACUACGUG
rnacentral:rRNA from 1 species